rnacentral:tRNA from 1 species
UCCUCCUUAGCUCAGUUGGUUAGAGCAUCUGACUGUUAAUCAGAGGGUCUUAGGUUCAAGUCCUAAAGGGGGAGCCU